UACGAAGGGUGCAAACGUUGCUCGGAAUUAUUGGGCGUAAAGCGCACGUAGGCGGUCCAGCAAGCGGGGAGUGAAAUCCCUCGGCUUAACCGAGGAAGUGCUUUCCGAACUACUGGACUUGAAUACUGAAGAGGAUCGCGGAAUUCCCGGUGUAGAGGUGAAAUUCGUAGAUAUCGGGAGGAACACCAGUGGCGAAGGCGGCGAUCUGGGCAGAUAUUGACGCUGAGGUGCGAAAGCGUGGGGAGCAAACAGG
rnacentral:rRNA from 1 species